rnacentral:rRNA from 1 species
GGACUACCGGGGUAUCUAAUCCUGUUUGCUCCCCACGCUUUCGCGCCUCAGCGUCAGUCUCAGGCCAGCGAGCUGCCUUCGCCAUGGGUGUUCCGAUCGAUAUCUACGCAUUUCACCGCUACACCGACCAUUCCACUCGCCUCUCCCAAACUCAAGGUCGCCAGUAUGAAAGGCAGUGUCCGGGUUGAGCCCGAACCUUUCACCCCUCACUUAACAACCCGCCUACGCGCGCUUUACGCCCAGUAACUUCGGACAACGCUCGCCCCCUACGUAUUACCGCGGCUGCUGGCAC